rnacentral:rRNA from 1 species
UACGUAGGGGGCAAGCGUUGUCCGGAUUUAUUGGGCGUAAAGAGCGUGUAGGCGGCCAGAAAGUCCGCUGUGAAAACUCGAGGCUCAACUUCGAGCUGUCGGUGGAAACUUUCUGGCUAGAGUCGGAAGAGGGAGAAUGGAAUUCCUGGUGUAGCGGUGAAAUGACGCAGAGUAUCAGGAAGAACACCCCGUGGCGAAAGGCGGUUCUCUGGGGACGGUACUGACGCUGGAGACGCGAAAGCGUGGGGGGAGCGAAACAGGAUUAG